GCCAAAAGCAAGAAGCCGGCAAGAGAGAUAGAGAGACAAUCGGAGCACCGGGUCGAGCGGCAUUGCCGAUUGGCUUACAAUUUAACUUUAAGCCCAAUAACGUGACAAUGUCAGAGCUGCAAGAAUGCAAUAUUGUCAGACAUCGGAACGCAGAAGGCUGCGAACUACAUAAGGAGUCAAGAAGAGCAAUCUUGCUCUCCGUCUCCUUCCUUGGUUAAAAAAGGGUGUCCCAGAGAGUUCCAUUUGUUUGUUACGAAAUGGAAUUAAUUCCUGUUGCGACUUGAAGAAUUAAGAGUUUUCAGUGGAAAGGUUCCUGGAAGACGAUUUCAGCUUUGAUAUUUGAAUUAUUACUUUUUGUAUAAAGAGUUUGUCAAUUGUACAGCAGUGCCAAAGGCUUGAAUAUUGAGCUGCAACCAUGAGCAGAUUGUCCUUUGUGGUUAUGAUAUACUAAAUGCAAAUACUUGAGCACAGUUUUUAAACAGCGACAAUGUUCUGGUCAGGCAACUGAUUUAUGAGCUAGUAGCUUAUGAUGCAGACACUUUGUUUUUGUAGUCAUCGUUUUCAACAAGUGUGGGCAAUACCAUUUUAUGAUACCAUUACAACUGGGCGUUCACUGUUUAAGUGAUUUUUUUUUAAUAUAUUUUAAUGGAGAUUAAGCUCUAUUGGAUGGCAAUAUAAUUCAUGCCCUUCAGUAGAUUGCAGAACCACUUGAACCAUCUCGCUGAAACUGAAAUAUUCGACUGUUGGUGUGUGCACAAUGUGCAUGCAAGUGUGCCUGUAUCUGACCUUUUUGUUUUGAGUCAUGUUACGUUGGACACAUCCUAUGCUCAUGUUUUUGUUGAUUGCUACGAGAUUUUUCUAAAGCAGUACUGAAUAAGUUGGUUUUCUGCGCGUUUGCAUUGAUAUGUAUAGCAGACCAACAACAUAGUUGCACAUUUGUUGGGCUUAUGGCAUCUAAAGUUCUCAUGCCUGGAAUACAUGGACAAAUGAUUUUUGUCGUAUUU